GUCUGGGGCUCAGUGGUAGACGCUUGCCUGGCAUGUGUGAGGCACUGGGUUCAAUCCCCAGCACCGCACA
rnacentral:tRNA from 1 species